rnacentral:rRNA from 1 species
AGCGAACGCUGGCGGCAUGCUUAACACAUGCAAGUCGAGCGGGCAUCCUUGUGGUGUCAGCGGCAGACGGGUGAGUAACGCGUGGGAACGUGCCCUUCGGUUCGUAAUAACUCAGGGAAACUUGAGCUAAUACCCGAUACGUGCGAGAGCAUAAAGUUUUAUCUGCCGAAGGAUCGGCGCGCGUCUCAUUCGAUAGUUGGUUAGUUUAUGGCUCACCACGGCGACAACCAGUAGCUGGUCUGAGAGGAUGAUCAGCCACACUUGGACUGAGACACGGCCCAGACUCUUACGGGAGGCAGGAGUGGGGAACAGUGCACAACGGCGGCAGUGCUGAAGCAGCCAGGAUCGGAGAGCGAUGAUAGCAGUAGGGUUGUAAAGCUCUAUUCUCCGGGACGAUAAUGACGGUACCGGAGGAAUAAGCCCCGGCUAACUUCGUG